rnacentral:lncRNA from 1 species
GCCGACCAGCUCGGUGGGAUCGUGGCUUCAAGUGGUCAACCAAGAACUUCACGCGGUGGGGAAAUUGACCAAGACGUGGGUUGAUGAAGACACAAAACACGGAGCAGCUCCAGUGAAGAUCCCGUGAGCUGGCUUCUUGGUGGAUCGGUCUUCGGUGGACGCUGGGUUGCAGUCGUUUACGGGGCAGAGAAGUGGGGUUGAGGAAGACACGCGGAGGAGGCUUUGCUGGGCUGGACUUCGACCGAAAGAAAAUGAAGCAGAAGC